rnacentral:rRNA from 1 species
AUGCAAGUCGUGCGAGAAAGUAUCUUCGGAUAUGAGUAGAGCGGCGGACGGGUGAGUAACGCGUAGGAAUCUACCUAGUAGAAGGGGAUAGCCCGGGGAGACUCGGAUUAAUACCGUAUACCUCCUUCGGGAGAAAGAAGGCCUCUCUUUGAAGCUUUCGCUAUUAGAUGAGCCUGCGCAAGAUUAGCUUGUUGGUGAGGUAAAGGCUCACCAAGGCUACGAUCUUUAGCUGGUCUGAGAGGACGAUCAGCCACAUUGGGACUGAGACACGGCCCAGACUCCUACGGGAGGCAGCAGUGGGGAAUAUUGGACAAUGGGCGCAAGCCUGAUCCAGCCAUACCGCGUGUGUGAAGAAGGCCUUCGGGUUGUAAAGCACUUUAAGCAGGGAGAAAAAGUUAUAGGUUAAUACCCUAUGACCUUGAUGUUACCUGCAGAAUAAGCACCGGCUAAUUCCGUGCCAGCAGCCGCGGUAAUACGGAAGGUGCAAGCGUUAAUCGGAAUUACUGGGCGUAAAGCGCGCGUAGGUGGUUUGUUAAGUUGGAUGUGAAAGCCCUGGGCUCAACCUAGGAACUGCAUCCAAAACUAACUCACUAGAGUACGAUAGAGGGAGGUAGAAUUCAUAGUGUAGCGGUGGAAUGCGUAGAUAUUAUGAAGAAUACCAGUGGCGAAGGCGGCCUCCUGGAUCUGUACUGACACUGAGGUGCGAAAGCGUGGGUAGCGAACAGGAUUAGAUACCCUGGUAGUCCACGCCGUAAACGAUGACAACUAGCUGUUGGGAGACUAUGUCUUUCAGUGGCGC